AAGGGUAUAGCUCAGUGGUAGAGCACAUGCUGAGCAUGCAUGACGUCCUAGGUUCAAUCCCUAGUACCUCCA
rnacentral:tRNA from 1 species